AGAGACCUUCGGGUCUCUAGUGGCGAACGGGUGAGUAACACGUAGGGAACCUGCCCCGGAGCGGGGGAUAACAUUUGGAAACAGAUGCUAAUACCGCAUAACAACAAAAGCCACAUGGCUUUUGUUUGAAAGAUGGCUUUGGCUAUCACUCUGGGAUGGACCUGCGGUGCAUUAGCUAGUUGGUAAGGUAACGGCUUACCAAGGCGAUGAUGCAUAGCCGAGUUGAGAGACUGAUCGGCCACAAUGGAACUGAGACACGGUCCAUACUCCUACGGGAGGCAGCAGUAGGGAAUCUUCCACAAUGGGCGCAAGCCUGAUGGAGCAACACCGUGUGAGUGAAGAAGGGUUUCGGCUCGUAAAGCUCUGUUGGUAGUGAAGAAAGAUAGAGGUAGUAACUGGCCUUUAUUUGACGGUAAUUACUUAGAAAGUCACGGCUAACUACGUGCCAGCAGCCGCGGUAAUACGUAGGUGGCAAGCGUUGUCCGGAUUUAUUGGGCGUAAAGCGAGUGCAGGUGGUUCAAUAAGUCUGAUGUGAAAGCCUUCGGCUCAACCGGAGAAUUGCAUCAGAAACUGUUGAACUUGAGUGCAGAAGAGGAGGGUGGAACUCCAUGUGUAGCGGUGGAAUGCGUAGAUAUAUGGAAGAACACCAGUGGCGAAGGCGGCUCUCUGGUCUGCAACUGACGCUGAGGCUCGAAAGCAUGGGUAGCGAACAGGAUUAGAUACCCUGGUAGUCCAUGCCGUAAACGAUGAGUGCUAAGUGUUGGGAGGUUUCCGCCUCUCAGUGCUGCAGCUAACGCAUUAAGCACUCCGCCCGGGGAGUACGACCGCAAGGUUGAAACUCAAAGGAAUUGACGGGGGCCCGCACAAGCGGUGGAGCAUGUGGUUUAAUUCGAAGCUACGCGAAGAACCUUACCAGGUCUUGACAUCUUGCGCUAACCUUAGAGAUAAGGCGUUCCCUUCGGGGACGCAAUGACAGGUGGUGCAUGGUCGUCGUCAGCUCGUGUCGUGAGAUGUUGGGUUAAGUCCCGCAACGAGCGCAACCCUUGUUACUAGUUGCCAGCAUUAAGUUGGGCACUCUAGUGAGACUGCCGGUGACAAACCGGAGGAAGGUGGGGACGACGUCAGAUCAUCAUGCCCCUUAUGACCUGGGCUACACACGUGCUACAAUGGACGGUACAACGAGUCGCAAGCUCGCGAGAGUAAGCUAAUCUCUUAAAGCCGUUCUCAGUUCGGACUGUAGGCUGCAACUCGCCUACACGAAGUCGGAAUCGCUAGUAAUCGCGGAUCAGCAUGCCGCGGUGAAUACGUUCCCGGGCCUUGCACACACCGCCCGUCA
rnacentral:rRNA from 1 species